ACAAAGUACACAGUUGGGGGCCAGACUGAUCUCCUGGUCAUGAAUGGAUUCCGGGACCUACCAGAAGGAGCAAAGCUUGCCAGGCAAGACCUCCGAAUCAAACUGCGCAAUGCGACAUAACUACCCUCGUGACACCUCCCCCAUUGUCGCCAGUCUCCCUCGAAUCCUAUGUCAAGAACAGGCCCUCAUGAUGACACAGACGGCUUCAUCAACAAUGACAGGUGUUUUGUGAAAAGUUGUAUUUAGAAAAAACCUGCUUGAUAAACUAGUAGGCUAAUUCCCUAGCCAAGCAGAUACAACUAGCAGAGUCAUGUUGGUUGUGAAGUGCAGUAGAAAAACACUGGCUGUUUAUUAUAUCACCCUGUCACAGACUCUCCCGGUCGAUAAGAUUGCCUGCUGCAAUUGUUCGAGAGCUGUCCGAACAUGCAGCAUAGAAAAGACCAGUAAGGGGGGUCCUUAUUAGCAUCAUGCAGACAAGCCCUCGCUGUGAGCAUUCCUAUGAAUGGAACAGUCAGCCAUGUGUCGGGAAGUGUCCGGCCAGCGACCGUCCCCUGUCAACAGCAACAGUUUUCUCAAGCUCAUCAUUUGUACAAACACGGAAGUAUCUUUGGUGAGUGGCCAGGAGCUGACCUACGCUGCUAUGUACAUCAACGGGGCUCUGGCAAAGACCUCACCUCCAGCCUCGCCUCUUGCCUGCUCCCCAACGGUGGCCGACGGCGAGAACAGAAUUAGAUGCAUGAGAUGCGGAGAGACCGGGCACUCAACCCAUCCACUCAACCCAUCCACUCAACCCAUCCACUCAACCCAUCCACUCAACACAUCCACUCAACACAUCCACUCAACACAUCCACUCAACCCAUCCACUCAACCCAUCCACUCAACACAUCCACUCAACACAUCCACUCAACACAUCCACUCAACACAUCCACUCAACACAUCCACUCAACCCAUCCNNNNNCCACUCAACCCAUCCACUCAACCCAUCCACUCAACACAUCCACUCAACCCAUCCACUCAACCCAUCCACUCAACACAUCCACUCAACCCAUCCACCCAACACAUCCACAAGGAGGUGAUUACUAAUAAUACAGUACAGCGCACAUGUCCAGUAAUAGCAAACACCCUUUUCAUUACAUAUGUCACUGAUGAACUCUGCUUCAACUCUGCCUAUUUCCACAGACGGACUGGAGACCAUAAUUGGGUAGGCUUUAUCUGACCUGUUCAAUCUAGUACCUGUUUGUGUGUCGGAUAUGACCUAUCCCAACCGCCAUUGGUAAUAGAACAGUGACUAUGUGUGUACGUGUUCACAGUUACAAAUCCAGACUGAGAGAGACCUGGCACUCUCUGCAUUCAAAUUUUACGAGACACAACGUUUACCUUGAAUUGUUGAAUUGUAUGGUAUAAGUCAAUAUUGGGAGAGAAAAACCCUGUGUAUUCUGCACCAGGAUCAGGGAACUCCUGUUGUAUACGGGACACUGCUUCUUUGGCAUUAUGUAAAGGGUUGAUUAUUGAUUAUUCUUCAUGGACCAGUUACUACAUUUGAAAGUUAUCGAAACACGUACUUUAGAAAAUCUACAUAAAUGCUGCAAUUGCAUUCUUGUCAUAACUCUGUAGGCUACUGACCUAUUCAAAGCUUCCUCCGGCAUCUCACCAUACAUCUGCCUGUAGUUAUUGAACUCAACUUGCAAGAGUUUUUUUGUUGUUGUCAUGAUUGAGUUUGGGGAAGCAGCUGCUGGCAAGGUCAGUUUGUCUUGGUGGUGGCUAAGAACUCCUCAAGAAACACCCUCAUUAAACCACACCCCCAAAACCAACUCAUGUUUGGCUUCUAUCAUGGCUGCCAGCAUUUCUUGAGGAGCAAGGCAAAAAACGAAACCAGCGGAUGCAGUUCCACUUUAAAAUGUCUUGAAUUGUUGGUUAGCAAUAGAGAACAACAACUUUUUGAGAUAUUACUAACAUAUACUGCCGUACUCUCUUGUAAGAAAAGUGGAGAUAAAAUGGAAGAUGAAUCUCUCGUGACGUUUUUAAAAAAAAUGUAAGACAUCCAAACAUUUGAUAAAAUAUGUGAAAAGUCCAGACUAGACUUAACGGGUACUGAAUGUGUACUUGAACGGACCAUGGGUGUUCCAAAUAGUCCAUGGGUGUCCAAUAGUCAUCUUCUUUUCUCUCGUUUGUUUACAUUUUUUGUCCACCACUUGAAGGUCUUCUAUCCCUGAUAUCCUUCAUCCCUGAUCUAAUUAUUCUCGAUCUGCAUCAAUGACUACCUGUCCACUCCAAACGUCUUGGCGAGAGUUCAGAAGUUUCUAAUUGUUCCAAAUGGUUUCUAAUGUUGUUAAAGGCAUCAUGGCUACCUGCCUAAUAUGCACAACUGUAGUUUUUGUGUGUUUUAAUCAACUUAAAAUCAACAACAACAAAAAAACAUUUAUGCUCAGGUUCAUUGAAUAUUAGGGAUAUCAACACACUAUCCCAUGAGUUUCAAUGCAAACCGGGGCUUAAUAGGAGCAUAACGGUGCCUUCAAAAAGUAUUCACAACCCUUGACUUUGUCUACAUUUUGUUGUGUUCCAGCCUGAAUUUAAAAUGGAUAUAUAUUGGGAAUGUGUGUCACUGGCCUACACACACACACACACACACACACACACACACACACACACACACACACACACACACACACACACACACACACACACACACACACACACACACACACACACACACACACACACACACCAUCAUGUCAAAGUGGAAUUAUGUUUUUAUUAAAAAUGAAAAGCUGAAAUGUCUUGAGUCAAUAAGUAUUCAACCCCUUGGUUAUGGCAAGCCUAAAUAAAUUCAGGAGUAAAAAUGUGCUUAACAAGUCACAUAAUAAGUUGCAUGGACUUGUGCAAUAAUAGUGUUUAACAUGUUUUUUUUAAUGACUAUCAACUCUGUACCCCACACAUACAAUUAUCUGUAGAGUCGAGCUGUGAAUUUCAAACACAGAUUCAACCACAAAGAAGAGGGAGGUGUUCUGAUGCCUCGCAAAUAAGGGCACCUAUUGGUAGAUGAGUAAAAAAAAUAUAUAUAUAUAGCUUUGAGUGUGACAGGGUUAUAUUGGUUAUUCCCUUUGACACUUUAUUGUUAAGCCAAUGGGUUUUUGGUUUGAGUUUGUCUUGCCUUCACCUACUCAACAUGGCAUCUUAUUGGCUGGUUUGCGUAGCUUGCUUACGAGGGGGGAUGUUCCAGUUAGAAUCGUCCCAGUGAACAAGCACCAAACCAGCGGUAAGUUGUUGGUUACAAAGCACUGUACAUCAAAAGUGAUUUUUAUACUAAAAUUUUUUGUAAAUGUUAUUCGAACAUCACACAUAAGAUGCAGCGGUUUUUGGAGAAUAUUUGUUGUGCAUUUUGUUGUAAAGAAUUCCCGCCAGUACUAGCUAGCAACUUACUGUGUCUGGUGGGGGGGGUUCAUAUAUUUUGUACAGUGCGUGAGUGCAGAGUUGGAUGGUGAGACGUGCAUUGCAUGACGUGCAAUUUUGUGCCGUUCCUAUCAGAAUAAAUCUACUUGACUGGUGCUACAUGUUGGAGUUCCGUGUCGAUGACUGAUUGUACACAACGCAAGAAGAGUACUGUUACAUGAGCAUGGUGAAGUUCUAAAUUACACUUUGGGAUGGUGUAUCAAUACACCCAGUCACUACAACGAUACAGGCGUCGUUCCUAACUCAGUUGCCGAAAAGAAUGGAAACAGAUCAGGGAUUUCAUUGUGAGUUCAUGGGUUACUUUUAAACAGUUAGUGUUUAAUGGUUGUGAUAGGAGACAACUGAGGAUGGCUCAACAACAUUGUGGUAACUCCA
ensembl:lncRNA